rnacentral:lncRNA from 1 species
GUGUAAAUUAAAAAAAUCAGACAUUGGUCUUUUUAAUGAUAAGUCCCCGUUAAUGUUUAGUUCUUAAGCUUAAUCAAUUCUUUAUUAUUGAAGCUCCCAAGGAUUAUGGAUUUUAGAAAUUACUGAACAAAAACAUAUGUAUAUAUCCUGUACCUCUGACCUUGAUACCUUGAUAUGAAAUGUUAACAGGAAACAACGUUAAA